rnacentral:rRNA from 1 species
ACGCGAAAGGCCCCUUCGGGGGCCGAGUAGAGUGGCGCACGGGUGAGUAACACGUAGGUAAUUUGCCUUCGGGUGGGGAAUAACAGCCGGAAACGGCUGCUAAUACCGCAUAAUGCAGCGGCUCGACAUCGAGACAGUUGUUAAAGCGGGGGAUCGCAAGACCUCGCGCCUGAAGAGAAGCCUGCGGCAGAUUAGCUAGUUGGUAGGGUAAUGGCCUACCAAGGCAACGAUCUGUAACCGGCCUGAGAGGGCGGUCGGUCACACUGACACUGACAUACGGGUCAGACUCCUACGGGAGGCAGCAGUCGGGAAUUUUGGGCAAUGGGCGAAAGCCUGACCCAGCAACGCCGCGUGAAGGAUGAAAUCCCUCGGGAUGUAAACUUCGCAAGAAUGGGAAGAAUAAGUAGAAGAUAACACCUUCUAUGAUGACGGUACCAUUUGUAAGCUCCGGCUAACUCCGUGCCAGCAGCCGCGGUAAUACGGGGGGAGCAAGCGUUGUUCGGAUUUACUGGGCGUAAAGGGCGCGUAGGCGGCCACGACAAGUCACUUGUGAAAUCUCCGGGCCUAACUCGGAACGGUCAAGUGAUACUGUCGGGCUAGAGUGCAGAAGGGGCAACUGGAAUUCUCGGUGUAGCGGUGAAAUGCGUAGAUAUCGAGAGGAACACCUGCGGCGAAGGCGGGUUGCUGGGCUGACACUGACGCUGAGGCGCGAAAGCCAGGGGAGCGAACGGGAUUAGAU